CUGCUGGAGAUGCUGGUUGGGGAGGAGUUUGGCCUUCUGAGGAGGAAGUCCCAGAGCAGACUUUGGCUCAACUCUAAGCUCUGAGAUUUUUAGGAAGCGAAGGGGCAGAAGAAGCGACUCACAAGCUCCUGGAGCCGUGUUGGGAGGGGCCCUCGGGGCCCCUGGAGUGGAGAGACACACCCAGAGGCUUUCCAGCCACCCAGGGAGGAGGCGCGGUGGCUGGGAUUUGGAGACAGCUGUGGAGGUGGGUGCAGGAGGCCGGGUUCUCUGUAUUUCCAGACUAGAGGCAGCGGCAGCUAUUGGUGUGGGGUGGGAGGGGAGAGCAGCUGGGACAUAGAAACAUUCCGAACCUAUGAUAAGCUCCCUG
rnacentral:lncRNA from 1 species